rnacentral:rRNA from 1 species
GACGAACGCUGGCGGCGUGCCUAAUACAUGCAAGUUGAGCGCUGAAGGUUGGUACUUGUACCAACUGGAUGAGCAGCGAACGGGUGAGUAACGCGUGGGGAAUCUGCCUUUGAGCGGGGGACAACAUUUGGAAACGAAUGCUAAUACCGCAUAAAAACUUUAAACACAAGUUUUAAGUUUGAAAGAUGCAAUUGAAUAACUCAAAGAUGAUCCCGCGUUGUAUUAGCUAGUUGGUGAGGUAAAGGCUCACCAAGGCGAUGAUACAUAGCCGACCUGGGAGGGUGAUCGGCCCAAUUGGGACUGGGACACGGCCCAAACUCCUACGGGAGGCAGCAGUAGGGAAUCUUCGGCAAUGGACGAAAGUCUGACCGAGCAACGCCGCGUGAGUGAAGAAGGUUCUCGGAUCGUAAAACUCUGUUGGUAGAGAAGAACGUUGGUGAGAGUGGAAAGCUCAUCAAGUGACGGUAACUACCCAGAAAGGGACGGCUAACUACGUG